rnacentral:misc_RNA from 1 species
GAUGAAGAACGUAGCGAAAUGCGAUAAGUAGUGUGAACUGCAGAAUUCAGUGAAUCAUCGAAUCUUUGAACGCACAUUGCGCCCCUUGGUAUCCCGAGGGGCAUGCCUGUUCGAGCGUCAUUUCACCACUCAAGCCUGGCUUGGUGUUGGGCGACGUCCUCUUUGGGGACGCGCCUCGAAACGCUCGGCGGCGUGGCACCGGCUUUAAGCGUAGCAGAAUCUUUCGCUUUGGAAGUCGGGGCCCCGUCUGCCGGAAGACCUGCUCGCAAGGUUGACCUCGGAUCAGGCAGGGAUACCCGCUGAACUUAAGCAUAUCAAUAAGCGGAGGA